GGGGAAUAUUGGUCAAUGGACGCAAGUCUGAACCAGCCAUGCCGCGUGCAGGAAGACGGCUCUAUGAGUUGUAAACUGCUUUUGUACGAGGGUAAACUCACCUACGUGUAGGUGACUGAAAGUAUCGUACGAAUAAGGAUCGGCUAACUCCGUGCCAGCAGCCGCGGUAAUACGGAGGAUUCAAGCGUUAUCCGGAUUUAUUGGGUUUAAAGGGUGCGUAGGCGGUUUGAUAAGUUAGAGGUGAAAUCCCGGGGCUUAACUCCGGAACUGCCUCUAAUACUGUUAGACUAGAGAGUAGUUGCGGUAGGCGGAAUGUAUGGUGUAGCGGUGAAAUGCUUAGAGAUCAUACAGAACACCGAUUGCGAAGGCAGCUUACCAAACUAUAUCUGACGUUGAGGCACGAAAGCGUGGGGAGCAAACAGGAUUAGAUACCCUGGUAGUCCACGCAGUAAACGAUGAUAACUCGUUGUCGGCGAUACACAGUCGGUGACUAAGCGAAAGCGAUAAGUUAUCCACCUGGGGAGUACGUUCGCAAGAAUGAAACUCAAAGGAAUUGACGGGGGCCCGCACAAGCGGAGGAACAUGUGGUUUAAUUCGAUGAUACGCGAGGAACCUUACCCGGGCUUGAAAGUUACUGACGAUUCUGGAAACAGGAUUUCCCUUUGGGGCAGGAAACUAGGUGCUGCAUGGUUGUCGUCAGCUCGUGCCGUGAGGUGUCGGGUUAAGUCCCAUAACGAGCGCAACCCCUACCGUUAGUUGCCAUCAGGUCAAGCUGGGCACUCUGGCGGGACUGCCGGUGUAAGCCGAGAGGAAGGUGGGGAUGACGUCAAAUCAGCACGGCCCUUACGUCCGGGGCUACACACGUGUUACAAUGGUAGGUACAGAGGGUCGCUACUCCGUGAGGAGAUGCCAAUCUCGAAAGCCUAUCUCAGUUCGGAUUGGAGGCUGAAACCCGCCUCCAUGAAGUUGGAUUCGCUAGUAAUCGCGCAUCAGCCAUGGCGCGGUGAAUACGUUCCCG
rnacentral:rRNA from 1 species